CCUACGUGAGGCAGCAGUGGGGAAUAUUGGGCAAUGGGCGCAAGCCUGACCCAGCCACGCCGCGUGAAGGAAGAAGGCUCUCUGGUUGUAAACUUCUUUUAUCAGGGACGAAGCAAGUGACGGUACCUGUUGACUAAGCCACCGCUAACUACGUGCCAGCAGUCGCGGUAAUACGUAGGUGGCAAGCGUUCUCCGGAUUUACUGGGUGUAAAGGGCGUGUAGGCGGGAAAGCAAGUCAGAUGUGAAAACCAUGGGCUAAACCUGUGGCCUGCAUUUGAAACUGGUUUUCUUGAGUACUGGAGAGGCAGACGGAAUGCCUGGUGUAGCGGUGAAAUGCGUAGAUAUUA
rnacentral:rRNA from 1 species